ensembl:lncRNA
CUCCGCCCCUUGCGGGUCCUGGGAGACCUGAGCUGGCGGGAAUCGGACGGGGUGGCAUACAGGACCCAGCGGGAAGCGGGCACGGGACUGGUCUGUGGAAUCUAACCCUAAGCUAUCAGGAAAUGACACCACAUAUUAUGCAUAUGGAUUGUGAAAUAUAGUUAAAAUAAAGGCCAAGGACAACCUGGAAAAGGAAGAGUGGCUUCCAAUCAGUGAAACAUGCAAACGGGGCAUAAGCGAGAGAGGAUAAGUAAAUCCUCUCACCUUCCAUCUCCUCUCUUCGCUUCUAUGAACUUCACGUUGUAUUUCAGCAACAAAUGGUAAUAGUUACUUCCUUUUUUU